CUCUUUGCAAUUCCCCCAUUUAAGCAAAAAUCACGCGCUUUCUCUUCGCAAAUCCCCCAUUUAACCCGAAAAUCACACGUUUUCUCUUCGAAAUCCCCAUUUAACCCGAAAAUCACGCGUUUUCUCUUCGAGAAUCCACCAUUUAACCCGAAAACCACGCGUUUUCUCUUCUCAAAUCCCCCAUUUAAGCAAAGAUCACACGUUUUCUCUUCGAGAAUCCCCCAUUUAACCCGAAAAUUAUGCGUUUUCUCUCCGCAAAUCCCCCAUUUAAGCGAAAAUCACGCGUUUUCUCUUCGAGAAUUCACCAUUUUACCCGAAAAUCACGCGUUUUCUCUUCGCAAAUCUCCCAUUUACCCAAAAAUCACGCGUUUUCUCUUCAAGAAUCCCCCAUUUAAGCAAAAAUCACGUGUUUUCUCCUCGAGAAUCCCCCAUUUAAGCGAAGAGAAAACGCGUGAUUUUUGCUUAAAUGGGGAAUUCUCGAAGAGAAAACGCGUGAUUUUCAGGUUAAAUGGGGGAUUUGCGAAGAGAAAAGGCGUGAUUUUCGCUUAAAUGGGGUAUUUGUGAAGAGAAAACGCGUGAUUUUCUCUUAAAUUGGGGAUUUGCAAAGAGAAAAGGCGUGAUUUUCGCUUAAAUGGGGGAUUUGCGAAGAGAAAAGGCGUGAUUUUCGCUUAAAUGGGGAAUUUGUGAAGAGAAAACGCGUGAUUUUCAUGUUAAAUUGGGGAUUCUCGAAGAGAAAACGCGUGAUUUUUGCUUAAAUGGGGGAUUCUCGAAGAGAAAACGCGUGAUUUUCGCUUAAAUGGGGGACUUGAGAAAACGCGUGUUUUUUGCUUAAAUGGGGGAUUCUCGAAGAGAAAACGCAUGAUUUUCGCGUAAAUGGGGGAUUUGCGAAGAGAAAACGCAUGAUUUUUGCUUAAAUGGGGGAUUCUCGAAGAGAAAACGCGUGAUAUUCAGGUUAAAUGGGAGAUUUGUGAAGGCAAAACGCAUCAUUUUUGCUUAAAUGGGGGAUUUGUGAAGAGAAAACGCGUGAUUUUCACUUAAAUGGGGGAUUUGCGAAGAGAAAACGCGUGAUUUUUGCUUAAAUGGGGGAUUCUCGAAGAGAAAACGCGUGAUUUUCGCUUAAAUGGGGGACUUGUGAAGAGAAAACACGUGAUUUUCACUUAAAUGGGGGAUUCACGAAGAGAAAACGCGUGAUUUUCUCUUAAAUUGGGGAUUUGCGAAGAGAAAAUGCGUGAUUUUCAAGUUAAAUGCUUGCUUAUCGAAGAGAAAAUGCGUGAUUUUCGUGUUAAAUGGGGUUUCACGGGGAGAAAAAGUGUUAUUUUCGCUGAAAUGGGGGAUUUGCAAAGAGAAAACGCGUGAUUUUUGGCUUAAAUGGGGGAUUCACAAAGAGAAAACGCGUGAUUUUCGCUUAAAUGGGGGAUUCUUGAAGAGAAAACGCAUGAUUUUCGCUUAAAUGGGGGAUUCUCGAAGGGAAAAUGCGUGAUUUUCGCUUAAAUGGGGGAUUCUCGAAGAGAAAACGCGUGAUUUUUGCUUAAAUGGGGGUUUCUUGAAGAGAAAAUGCGUGAUUUUCAGGUUAAAUGGGGGAUUCUCGAAGAGAAAAUGCGUGAUUUUUGGUUAAAUGGGGGAUUCUUGAAGAGAAAAAGCGUGAUUUUCGGGUUAAAUGGGGGAUUUGAGAAGAGAAAACGCGAGAUUUUCGGGUUAAAUGGGAAAUUCUCGAAGAGAAAAUGCGUGAUUUUC
ensembl:lncRNA